rnacentral:rRNA from 1 species
UGAGCAAUCUGCCCUUCUCAUCGGAAUAAGCGUUGGAAACGACGUCUAAUGCCGAAUACGACCUCCUUUCGCAUGAUCGGAGGUGGAAAGCUCCGGCGGAGAAGGAUGAGCUCGCGGCCUAUCAGCUAGUUGGUGUGGGUAAUGGCCCACCAAGGCGACGACGGGUAGCUGGUCUGAGAGGGUGACCCGGCACACGUGGGACUGAGACACGGCCCAGACCUCCGUAGGGAGA